rnacentral:rRNA from 1 species
UACGGAGGGUGCAAGCGUUAAUCGGAAUUACUGGGCGUAAAGGGUGUGUAGGUGGUUGAAUAAGUUAUCUGUGAAAGCCCUGGGCUCAACCUGGGAAGGUCAGAUAAGACUGUUUGACUCGAGUAUAAGAGAGGGUAGUGGAAUUUCCGGUGUAGCGGUGAAAUGCGUAGAGAUCGGAAGGAACACCAGUGGCGAAGGCGGCUACCUGGCUUAAUACUGACGCUGAAACACGAAAGCGUGGGGAGCAAACAGG